GGCCUGUUGAAAUUCUGCACUGUGGGGUUCUGUGGAAUUGGAAGCUUAGUGGACUUCAUGUUGAUAUCCAUGCAGAUCGUGGGUCCAUCAGAUGGGUCAGAUUACAUUGUGGACUACUACGGGGCACGCCUCACCCGUCUUUCGAUAACAAACGAGACCUACAGAAGAACGCAGCUCUCUCCGUGAAGACACCAGGUGGAUCCCAAAUGAGAUGUGUACCAAAUGUACAGGAUCGUGUUAUGUAAAUCCCAUCUUUUCUUUGGAUAUGCCUUUGCCGUUUCCAAACACAAAGACACAUGGACAUGCCAAACUACGCUCUGGGAAAUACUAGCCCAUGUCUGGAGUUUGCAAACAUGGCUCAUGCAUGUGCUGAGAUAGCGCUGGUCCCUCUGUCCAAGUUCUGCUCGUAUCCUCGUGUAGCUGUUUUUUCCACUGGGCUGCUCAUGUCCUCUAUCACUCUCUCUCUCUCUCUCUCUCUCUCUCUCUCUCUCU